UAUUGGUCAAUAGCCUAACGGCUGAACCAGCAACUAGGAGGAAUGUAAAACUACUGUAAAAGGUAGUUUUUUAUAUUAGAAAUAAAAUAUAGAGUUAACUAAGUUAAGUAAAGUUCCGAGUAGAAAUUGAUUAUGACAGUUUCUAUAAGUAUGUCUUGACCAAUUCAUGUGCCAGCAGUCGCGGUAACACAUGUAAGACUGGUGUUAUUCAUCUUUAAUAGGUUUAAAGGGUACCUAGACAGUUAAUUAAGCCUUUAAUAGGUACUAAUAUAACUAGAGUUUAAUGUAAGAAGAAGAGUACGGUGAGUGUAGAGAUAAAAUUCAGUGAUACCACUUAGAAACUGGCAAAUGCGAAGGCAAUCUUCUAUGUAAAAACUGACGUUGAAGGACGAAGGCUCGUUAAAAAUAACAGGAUUAGAUACCCUAGUAUUGUGGGCAGACAAUGAUGAAUGUCAUAUGCAAGAAUAAUUUUGUGUAUAAAUGAAAGUGUAAGCAUUCCACCUCAAGAGUAAUAUGGCAACAUAUAAACUGAAAUCAUUAGACCGUUUCUGAAACUCGUAGUGAAGUAUGUUGUUUAAUUUGAUGAUCCACAAAGAACCUUACCACAAUUUGAAUAUCUAUAAAUUGUAUUUAUACUAUAUAGUUACAAGCGUUGCACGGCUGUCUGCAGUUAAUGUCGUGAGACUUUGGUUAGAUCCAUAAAAUUAACGUAUAACCCUUACUUUAUUUAAUAUAAAAUAGUUCGCCGCUAUAUUGGUAGUGAUAUAAGGGACCAAGACAAGUCAUCAUGGCCUAGAUAUUGUGGGCUAUAGAC
rnacentral:rRNA from 1 species